rnacentral:rRNA from 1 species
CCUAACACAUGCAAGUCGAACGGUAACAGGAAGAAGCUUGCUUCUUUGCUGACGAGUGGCGGACGGGUGAGUAAUGUCUGGGAAACUGCCUGAUGGAGGGGGAUAACUACUGGAAACGGUAGCUAAUACCGCAUAACGUCGCAAGACCAAAGAGGGGGACCUUCGGGCCUCUUGCCAUCGGAUGUGCCCAGAUGGGAUUAGCUAGUAGGUGGGGUAACGGCUCACCUAGGCGACGAUCCCUAGCUGGUCUGAGAGGAUGACCAGCCACACUGGAACUGAGACACGGUCCAGACUCCUACGGGAGGCAGCAGUGGGGAAUAUUGCACAAUGGGCGCAAGCCUGAUGCAGCCAUGCCGCGUGUAUGAAGAAGGCCUUCGGGUUGUAAAGUACUUUCAGCGGGGAGGAAGGGAGUAAAGUUAAUACCUUUGCUCAUUGACGUUACCC